GACGAACGCUGGCGGCGUGCUUAACACAUGCAAGUCGUACGGUAAGGCCCUUUCGGGGGUACACGAGUGGCGAACGGGUGAGUAACACGUGAGUAACCUGCCCACAACUUUGGGAUAACGCUAGGAAACUGGUGCUAAUACUGGAUAUGUGCUCCUGCUGCAUGGUGGGGGUUGGAAAGCUCCGGCGGUUGUGGAUGGACGCGCGGCCUAUCAGCUUGUUGGUGGGGUAGUGGCCUACCAAGGCGGCGACGGGUAGCCGGCCUGAGGGGGUGACCGGCCACAUUGGGACUGAGAUACGGCCCAGACUCCUACGGGAGGCAGCAGUGGGGAAUAUUGCACAAUGGGCGCGAGCCUGAUGCAGCAACGCCGCGUGCGGGAUGACGGCCUUCGGGUUGUAAACCGCUUUCAGCAGGGACGAAGCUUUUUGUGACGGUACCUGCAGAAGAAGCACCGGCUAACUACGUG
rnacentral:rRNA from 1 species